GGGUUGUGAGGUUAAGCGACUAAGCGUACACGGUGGAUGCCCUGGCAGUCAGAGGCGAUGAAGGGCGUGCUAAUCUGCGAUAAGCGCCGGUAAGGUGAUAUGAACCGUUAUAACCGGCGAUACCCGAAUGGGGAAACCCAGUGUGACUCGUCACACUAUCAUUAACUGAAUCCAUAGGUUAAUGAGGCGAACCGGGGGAACUGAAACAUCUAAGUACCCCGAGGAAAAGAAAUCAACCGAGAUUCCCCCAGUAGCGGCGAGCGAACGGGGAGGAGCCCAGAGCCUGAAUCAGCAUGUGUGUUAGUGGAAGCGUCUGGAAAGGCGCGCGAUACAGGGUGACAGCCCCGUACACAAAAGCGCAUGUGCUGUGAGCUCGAUGAGUAGGGCGGGACACGUGGUAUCCUGUCUGAAUAUGGGGGGACCAUCCUCCAAGGCUAAAUACUCCUGACUGACCGAUAGUGAACCAGUACCGUGAGGGAAAGGCGAAAAGAACCCCGGCGAGGGGAGUGAAAAAGAACCUGAAACCGUGUACGUACAAGCAGUGGGAGCACAGGUUUACCUGUGUGACUGCGUACCUUUUGUAUAAUGGGUCAGCGACUUAUAUUCUGUAGCAAGGUUAACCGUAUAGGGGAGCCGUAGGGAAACCGAGUCUUAACCGGGCGUUAAGUUGCAGGGUAUAGACCCGAAACCCGGUGAUCUAGCCAUGGGCAGGUUGAAGGUUGGGUAACACUAACUGGAGGACCGAACCGACUAAUGUUGAAAAAUUAGCGGAUGACCUGUGGCUGGGGGUGAAAGGCCAAUCAAACCGGGAGAUAGCUGGUUCUCCCCGAAAGCUAUUUAGGUAGCGCCUCGUGAAUUCAUCUCCGGGGGUAGAGCACUGUUUCGGCUAGGGGGCCAUCCCGGCUUACCAACCCGAUGCAAACUGCGAAUACCGGAGAAUGUUAUCACGGGAGACACACGGCGGGUGCUAACGUCCGUCGUGAAGAGGGAAACAACCCAGACCGCCAGCUAAGGUCCCAAAGUCAUGGUUAAGUGGGAAACGAUGUGGGAAGGCCCAGACAGCCAGGAUGUUGGCUUAGAAGCAGCCAUCAUUUAAAGAAAGCGUAAUAGCUCACUGGUCGAGUCGGCCUGCGCGGAAGAUGUAACGGGGCUAAACCAUGCACCGAAGCUGCGGCAGCGACGCUGAUGCGUUGUUGGGUAGGGGAGCGUUCUGUAAGCCUGCGAAGGUGGCCUGUGAGGGUUGCUGGAGGUAUCAGAAGUGCGAAUGCUGACAUAAGUAACGAUAAAGCGGGUGAAAAGCCCGCUCGCCGGAAGACCAAGGGUUCCUGUCCAACGUUAAUCGGGGCAGGGUGAGUCGACCCCUAAGGCGAGGCCGAAAGGCGUAGUCGAUGGGAAACGGGUUAAUAUUCCCGUACUUGGUGUUACUGCGAAGGGGGGACGGAGAAGGCUAUGUUGGCCGGGCGACGGUUGUCCCGGUUUAAGC
rnacentral:rRNA from 2 species